rnacentral:lncRNA from 1 species
CCAAUUUCUUAUGUUUAAAUUUUUGAAUGUUUAUUUAUUUUAUAUCCUUUAAUAAAUUUUAAUUUUUAGUCCUUUUAGUUGGAAUUUUAUGAAAUAAAUAUGUAUUAAAUAUAAAUAAAUCAAGAUUUCAUAUUAAUUAUUUCACGUUAUAAAACUUUAUUUUGUAUUUUUUUGAACAGUUCUAUAAGUAAUUUAAUUGUACCGAAUUUUAUAAUAUAG